AAAAAUAAAAAAUAAUUCUUAUUUAAAAAAAAAAUCCAGUAUGGAAACUUAAGGACACAUGCACUACAGUUUAAAUGGUAUUCCCUAAUCUUCUCCUGACCAUGGGAUGCUGACAUGUGGUCAAGGAUUUUUCUUUUUUGAUCAUGCAUUUUUUUGAAUGUGUUUGUGAGGGUGUUUUUUGAUAGAUUAACAUUUCAGUAGGGUAGACUGAAUAAAACAGGUCAGUUUGCCAUCCGUAAUGUGGGUGGACCUUAUCCAAUCAACUGAGGGUAUGAAUAGCACAAAAUGGUUGAAAAAGGUGGAUCUUUGCCUUCCUGACUGAGCUGGACAUUAGUUUUCUCCCGCCCUGGGAUUGAAAUUUACGCCACUGGCUCUCCUGGGUCUCCAGCUUCUUGACUACAGAUGAGGGAACUUCUCAGCUUCCAUAAUCACAUGGAAGAUUGAUUGAUAAUAAGUCAAUCUCUUUCUGUCACUUGCUCUUUUCCUCCAUCUCUAUCUCAUGUUACUGUUUUAUAAACAAAUAGCUAUAUCAAUAUCAUCUAUAUCUAUAUCUCCAUUUGGUUCAGUUCCUCUGGAGAACCAUGGCUAAUAAAGGGACCAUCUCAGGGCAAUAGAAGUGAGAGAGUGAAAAUGUCCUUUAGGGAAAUUAGAAACAUCAACACAGGUUUCCUUACUACAUGGGUUACCACUGAGAAAGGCUGAACGUCAGCCUGCUGGAGACUUGAGGAACCAUGUUUUUACAUUUGUUUUACAGGAGGACAAUGACACUAGGACAUUUAUCCAUGGAUUUGCAUCUCCCGAGGGUUUCCCCUGGGACAUGGAUUUUUUUCCCCACUUCCAAGCUAUGUCUGCAUGUAGCUCAGCACCUUCUGCAGCUUUGGGAUGCAGAGAAGUCAGAUGCUGAGAUGCUAGUGCUCUUCGCCUGGGAGCACCUGUAAUGAAAUGAAGAGCUGUCCAGCACUAAGGUGCUGAAGUUUCCUGGCACAGGAGGAUGUGGUGGGUUAUACAUCCAGAGGAUCUAUAUGACACAGGUUUAAUAAAACUACCUGGUUACUUCAAAAUUAUAGCACAUGGUUUUAUAAUACAAUGGAAAGCUCUGUUAGGACAAGGACAAAAAACAAAAUUUUUGUUUAUGGAUGUGUUUCCAGUGCCUGACACUUAAAAAACAAUAAAUUUUAUUGAAUGAGUUGAUACAAAAUCAGAGGUUUGAACUAACAUUUAUUCUCUUAUGAAGCAAAUAAUAAGGCUUUUCUAUGUAUUGCUAAGAAGAAGUCUACUUCAACAGUUUGUUUGUCUCCAAUUCUUUGUCACUUGAUUUCUUUUCUUCCUGAAAAGGAAAAGAGGUGGGAAAGAUAGGUCACAGGUUCUUGUGCUCACCUGGGGCAACUACUCUAAACCAUCCCCACCAGCAGGACUAGUGCUGAGCUCUGACAAGACGGUCUUUGCAGGUGGUGAUCUUGGAACCUGAGGCAUUGAGAUACAGGACAAGAGGGGUCAUUGGAAAGGCCUAACCUAGGGUAAUGGGGAGCCACUUUCUUUAUAUAUUAGAGUGAAAAGGGUUUGGAUGCUCACCUUGCUAUUUAACUUUUACAAUCCACUUUUGUGAUAAUCAGCAUCUGUAAAUGUUAAUCAGAAUAUGAAUUGGAGUAGCUUUGCCUUGUUUUCAGUCUUCACUAUUCUUUCUCCCUUGGGUCAUAGAUGGAAAUCUUUCAGUGCACAGGCCAGUGGGAUAUGAAUGUGGCCUUUCUCAAGAAAAGACUCUGCGUAAGCUUAAAAGAACUUAUUAAAUUAGUACGUGGGAUAUGAUUUCAUCCACAUAAUAGAAGCUGCAGCUGCUUUUAAAGAAAUGAAAUUGUGUUGCACGUGACGUUCAGUCUUCAGCCCUACCACACAGGUGCUCUCUUCUAGAGAUGCAUGGCUCCCAGAGGGCCUUCCUCCAGGAGGGACAUCAGCCAGGAGACAAAUGAGCCUUCCUGCUUUUCAUACUGUACAUGUCGGCUCUUCACUAGUGGAGGUUGGAAGUCAUGGAUUUCAUUACUGCAGUGCAUUGAGGGCCAGGGAAAAAAUCCAAUUUGCUGCUGCCUCAGUGUCUUUGUGUUUUAAUCAAAUGGAUAAGAAAGAGUCAUUAACUGAUGCUCAGGCUGACUGAAAUUCCAGUGAGAGGGAAUGGAAAUGAGAUUGUGACACAGCCUUAGAAGGUCACUUGCUCCCUGGUAGUCCUGAGCCAAUAAAGUCUCACUUGUUGAUUGUUACCAAGUUGUUCACUGAGCACCCGUGGCAGUUGUGGACAGUGGGGGUGGCAGUCCUGAUCGCCAUCCCUAUACCCAGGGCCACUGGCCAUGAAGGAUGGUGCCUGCCCUUCCUUGGAUGAUCCAGUGAGUGGAUUGUAUAAAUCUCCUAUAUGCUGAUAAAAGCUUCCUUUUCCCUGUGCCAAUGAAUCUUGAUUUAAAAUCACAGGAACUUUUAAAGAUGUGGCCACUGUAGUGAUUACCUGUAUAUGGCAGGGUCAGUGGAGGUGCUGAGGGGAGCAGCAAAUGCAUUUGAAAGCACUCUGAAAGCUAUGAAGUGCUACUCAAAUUUAGAUGCCUGUUAUUAAUGUUAUUAUUUUUAUCCCUAUCGUUAUUAUGGUUUACUGCCACUGCUACGAUGAAGUUUAAGAUUGCAUAAACUUCCACAUGGUUGUCUGUUUGACAGGCAGAGAUCAGAGGGGCGGUUGGUGAAUGGGAAUCUUUCCUAUGGCAGAAUUUCUCUUCCUGAUUUACGCGCAGCUGUCUCUGGGGCAGUCCCAGGGCCCCAGGAGAAUUCGUCCACAGAAGGAGAUGGAUUCCUGAGCAGUUUCACCAGUGCCUCCAUGAGGAGUGAGGCAGACACUUGUGCCCUGGAGCAGGUUGAUGCCAUGGUGAGUUCACAUCCUCCCGUGCAUUGCUGUCUGAAAAUAAUCAUGAGUAUUGCUAGUGCAUUCAUGGGCGCCCUAAUGUUUCAGAGGGCUGGAGAGCACAGAACUACAGAGGAACAGAACCAAGUGGUUCACCGAGGAGGUGGAGGCCUUGCAGGAGGCAGCUCCAGGGGCUUCUCUCCAGUCCCGGCUCAGGCUGGGUGACGGAGGAGCGAGGGUGCCGGGAGCGGCCAUCAGCACCUGUCGGUGAGGAGGAACAGCUCCAUCAGCAAAGGCACACUCACGAAUCCAUUGGAAUUGACCCAUUCUGAAGGCAGGUAAGUUGGCCAUCAGCAGAUACCAGUAGCAAGGCCGGAUGUAACGCCCCGGUGUCCCAGCAACCUACAUCUGAUGCCACCAGGUCCCGGAGACACAAGGAGAUGCGGAAGACUCAGCUGGUUCCCGGAACCUUCUGUCUUCAUCAUGAUGUGUUUGCUCUGGUCCACAAAUAUUUUCCAGAUGUUGCAUCUAAGUGGGGCCACAUGACUUUGUGAGACAAAAUGAGAUGUGAAAUAUCCAGGUCAAGGCCAGUAUAUGUGGAUGUGCUUUCUCCAGGGGCCCCCUUUCCCCACUCACCAGGGGAAUGCUAAGGAGGAUGAGGUCCUAUAAGUUGGUAUAACAUUUUAUAGAAGGAAUGCCUGUCCCUGACUGCAUGGAACCCCUGUGCUCAUACUUCAUGGAUGUGAUAACAGCAAGAAGUAAACUUUACUUGUGUGAAGCCAUUGAGUUUUAAGGAAGAAGAUCCAUGCAACAUGAAGGAGCCUUCAGAAGUCACUGGGUCCAGUCACCUCCCAAACUUGUUCUGUAUCUGCAACCUGUGGUGCUUAAAAAAAAAAAAAAACAGAUUCCAGGACUGAUGUCCAGACUUCUGAAUUUCACAGUGUAGGUACCAAAAGUCUUUCUAAAAAGGUCCCUUAGGGAAAAUAAUGAAAUCAAUUCACUGCGUGAUAUUUGGGGAUCACUGACUAUACAUCAACUUUUGGUGGAAGCAGAUAUCCCCUCUUCUGGGUUGUUAAUGGGGUAAGGUCUAAAAUUCUCCUGAAGAGAUGAUUUCACAGUACAAAGCGGUUCUCUCCAUGUGCUUCCUUAAUGUAUUAUGCCCUUUCAUGAGUCAGCCUAGCUGUGUGUCUGAUUCCCUUCCUUCUGUCAAGGGUUUGCUUAAACACUACCUUCUCAAUGAAGCGUACCCUGACCACCCUCCUAAAAUUGUACUCAGGUCUCUAUUAAAUGUCUACACUUUUCAUUAUUCCAUUGCAUUUUUCGCCUUCCUAAUAUUUCAUAUAAAUUCUCACAUAUUGUAUCUCACCCUGGGAGGAUAGGAACUCCACAAGCAAGGAUUUCCCAAUGUUUGCUGAUGUGUUCAAGUGCCUAGGACACUGCUGUGCACAUGGUGGCUGCUUGAUAAGGUCUGUUGAAUGGAUAAGUAUAUGGCUCCGUGGUUCACAUACUGUUUAUAAUGCUGGCCUCCUGAAAGCUUCUCCAAACCAAACCAAAGACCUGGUUAACAUUUAGGGUGAAAAUAGAUUGAACUACUUUUGCUUUUGGCUUUUCCCUUUCCCUGUUUUUGAAAAUAUUUUUGGAGACUCAGGAGUAAAUCUGUCUGGUCUGGACUGAACACAGUAUUUCAUUUUGGUUUUAACCUUAUUUGGGGAAUAAGCUGGGUACAUAUUUUGACAAGUUGAUGAAAGAAACACAAUUCUAUAUAUUCUAGUGAAUUCUUUUCAUAUGUAUUCCUUAGUGUGUUCUGUAAUUUGUCAUCCCACAAACUUGCAUUUUGGGUAAAAAAAUGUAAUAUUUAAGCAACUAAAACUUUGAGCUUCUAAAACUUUGAGCCCCUACUCAUGUAUUCAUUCAGGCAUUGAUAUUUUGAAUGCCAACUGCGUGGCCAGUGUUGUGCUGGGUGUUGAGGAAGUGUCCCCGCAGCUUAUGAGCAAGUGCGUGUGUGUAUGUAUAUGAGGAUUCUUUAAACAAUACAUUUUUUAAUUUCUAUCAACUGAUUGGCUCUGUAUGAUUUUGAAAUUGCUCAAGAGUUCUAAAGGGCAAAUUGUUGCACUGAAUUUUAGAAGACAUUAGACAUUUAGAAUUUUAGAACACAUUAGUGUU